AGAUAAUUAUAAUUUGUAUGUAGAACAACAAAAACAUAUGUGGACAAAUUUGCUUAUCUUUUUGAAUCGUUUACCGUCCACAUAAACAAACUACCAGUUAUGUAAAAUAAAUCAUCCAUAGCGCAUAAAAACUGGUAUCUUGUUAUUUUUCAA
rnacentral:sRNA from 1 species